CAUUAAUGGUACGUGAAAAAUCACGUAGCCACUAAAUUUCACUCACACCACUCAUUUUACCUGAUAUCUAUAAAAAGUAAGAAGUGGCACAUGGUUCUUGACUGAAAACUUUUUUAAUUAAACCAAAAUAAACGAUAACCAUCGGAGUAAUAUGGAUGGACAUGUCCCAGCUUUGUUGCAGCUCCAGCUCAACAAAUGCAAAAAUUAGGCUGCCAAGUGUGUGUACACUGUUAUAUGCUUGCCCUCGUCCUUCCCGGAAGGGUUCAGCAUGUGUCGCAAUACCAUUAGGAUGCAUAAAAUCAAAGAAAAACAAGGGCCACUGACUGAGUCGCCCCCCAUUAGUUUCCGUAUUUUGCCCAUUUGCCAAGGGAACAAGCGACACUUUUCGCAUGAUUAAUGGAUCUGCCAAUGGAGGUACGAAGGAUAAUCCCACCGACAAAUACUGCAGGAUGCAAGCUUCACGGCCCAAAAUCUACAUCAACAAACCAAUCAUCAGUUUUUUUGUUUCUUGCGUUAAAUUAUUUUACUGUCCAAGACUUAAAAACUAAGCUGAUCAGAAUUACGUUCUGAUGAACAGAACCUUACAUAAUAAGGUUCAUAAUAAGUCAUAAUAAGCUGUAUACUACCGGCAUUAUAUGAAUCGGAUUCCGGAGGAUAAUGUUGAAAAUAAAUGGAAAUUGUUUGGAAGAAACAACUAAAUUGGCUAUUUCCCUGAGUAUUUUCUUGCGUCUAAAAUUGCGGACUUAAAUAUAACAAAAGGCAAUCGAGUGUCUCAGCGGUGAUGUAGGUAAUUGCUAUGUAUGUACUCGCAGCAUCAGAGCAGACAAUCUUGGGUAGGUGGAUUUGAAUUUAGCUCAGCACUAAGAAAUAUUUGGUGGGAAAUUUCUAUCGAAGCAUAGCUGGAUGUGAUUGAAAGCAAUAAUAUUUUUUAUGGAAGUGGUUAACAUUUCUUUUCUAUGUGACAAUGUUAAGUUGUGAAUGCUUUUGUGAUAAAAGAAAGUGCACGGCAGUGAUUGUAAUUGU